rnacentral:sRNA from 1 species
GGCUUCUCUUCUUCGGAAGAGACCCGAAAAACCCCCUUGCGAUUGCCGCAAGGGGGUUUUUCUCCUUCAUAU